UACAGAGGAUGCAAGCGUUAUCCGGAUUUACUGGGCGUAAAGCGCCCGUAGGCGGCCUGACAAGUUGGACGUGAAAGCUCCUGGCUUAACUGGGAGAGGCCGUUCAAAACUGUCAAGCUAGAGUCUGGAAGAGGAGAGCGGAAUUCCCGGCGUAGUGGUGGAAUGCGUAGAGAUCGGGAGGAACACCAGUGGCGAAAGCGGCUCUCUGGUCCAAAACUGACGCUGGGGAGCGAAAGCGUGGGGAGCGAACAGG
rnacentral:rRNA from 1 species